GCGUGCUCGAAAAUGUUAAAGUUCUUAUUUCAUGGUAUAACUUUGGUAUGCUUGGACCUAGAGUCUUCAAACUUGACAUGAAGGUUGGCCAGGACUAACAGAUGACCACUGGUCAUUUCAAGGUCAUUCAUUUGAAGGUCAAGGUCACUGUGACCUUGAAUGUAAAAAUGUUAAAGUUGUUAUAACUUUGGUAUGCUUGGACCUAGAGUCUUGAAACUUGACAUGAAGGUUGGCCAGAACUAGUAAGUAACCACUGGACAUUUCAAGGUCAUUCAUUUGAAGGUCAAGGUCACUGUGACCUUGAAUGUAAAAAUGUUAAAGUUCUUAUUUCAUGUUAUAACUUUGGUAUGCUUGUACCUAGAGUCUUCAAACUUGAAAUAAAGAUUGGCCAGUA